GUUUGGCACAAGACCUCCCGAGCAGGACAUGUAACCCACAAUAUUUAGCCAGUAUCCAGGCUUUGCUUCUUGUGAGAUUUAAAGAAGAUGAUGGUCUUAAAAUGGUUUUACCACAAGAAAGCUUCCCCUACAAGGAAUAUACCUGUGCCUCACACUGCCAGUCUGAGGAGUAAAAUGAUAGAUCCAGAAGGUUUACCACAGAUCAUGGGGAGACAAUACAGAUUUGCUAAGAGACGUGCUUUUGAGACUGAUGGAUUGCAAACAUCCUCACCUGAUGAAAGGCCUUGAAAUGGCUAUAACGGUCCGG